CAGCCGCCGCGGGAAUACAGAGGGUGCAAGCGUUAAUCGGAAUUACUGGGCGUAAAGCGCGCGUAGGUGGUUUGUUAAGUUGGAUGUGAAAUCCCCGGGCUCAACCUGGGAACUGCAUUCAAAACUGACUGACUAGAGUAUGGUAGAGGGUGGUGGAAUUUCCUGUGUAGCGGUGAAAUGCGUAGAUAUAGGAAGGAACACCAGUGGCGAAGGCGACCACCUGGACUAAUACUGACACUGAGGUGCGAAAGCGUGGGGAGCAAACAGGAUUAGAUACCCGGGUAGUCCCUGUCUCUUAUAC
rnacentral:rRNA from 1 species